UGGCUCAGAACGAACGCUGGCGGCGCGUCUUAAGCAUGCAAGUCGAGCGGCAAGGAAGAAGCUUGCUUUUCCCUAGAGCGGCGGACUGGUGAGUAACGCGUGGGUGACGUACCCUCCGGACGGGGACAGCCUGUGGAAACACAGGAUAAUACCGGAUACGGUGCAUGUUGUCAGAGGACAUGCAGGAAAGGUUCUUUUGAACCGCCGGAGGAGCGGCCCGCGUACUAUUAGCUAGUUGGUGAGGUAACGGCCCACCAAGGCAGUGAUAGUUACCCGGCCUAAGAGGGUGGACGGGCACAUUGGGACUGAGAUACGGCCCAGACUCCUACGGGAGGCAGCAGCUAAGAAUAUUCCGCGAAUGGGGGAAACCCUGACGGAGCGACGCCGCGUGGACGAUGAAGGCCGGAAAGGUUGUAAAGUCCUUUUAUGACUGAAGAAUAAGGAGCAUGAGAGAAACGUGCUCUGGUGACGGUAGGUCAUGAAUAAGCAACGGCUAAUUACGUGCCAGCAGCAGC
rnacentral:rRNA from 1 species